rnacentral:rRNA from 1 species
GAUGAACGCUGGCGGCGUGCCUAAUACAUGCAAGUCGAGCGAACAGACCCGGCUCUUGCUCCUCUGACGUUAGCAACGGACGGGUGACUAACACGUGGCUAACCUACCUCUCAGACUUGGAUAACUUCGGGAAACCGGAGCUCAUACCGUAUCAUAUCUUGAACCGCAUGGUUCAAUAGUGAAAGACGGUUUGCUGUUACUUAUAGAUGGAUCCGCUCCGCAUUAGCUAGUUGGUAAGGUAACGGCUUACUCAGGCAACGAUGCGUAGCCGAGCUGAGAGGGUGUUGGGCCACUGUGGAACUGAGACACGGUCCAGAGACCUACGGGAGGCAGCAGCAGCGAAUCGACGGCGAUGGGCGAAAGCCUGAAGGAGCAACGCCGCGUUGGUGAUGAGGGUCUGCGGAUCGGAAAACGCUGUUAGGAGGGAAGAACAAAUGUGGAAGUAACGAAGCGCGUCUGGACGUUACCUAAGCAGAAAGCCACGCCUAACUCCGU